CUACGGGGCGCUGCAGUGAGGAAUAUUGGUCAAUGGGCGCGAGCCUGAACCAGCCAUCCCGCGUGCAGGAUGACGGCCCUAUGGGUUGUAAACUGCUUUUCUAUGCCAAGAAACCUGAUUACGUGUAAUCAGUUGCCGGUAGCAUAGGAAUAAGCAUCGGCUAACUCCGUGCCAGCAGCCGCGGUAAUACGGAGGAUGCAAGCGUUAUCCGGAUUCAUUGGGUUUAAAGGGUGCGCAGGUGGGCUUGUAAGUCAGUGGUGAAAUGCUGCCGCUUAACGGUAGAACUGCCAUUGAUACUGGAGUCUUGAGUAUGGUUGAGGUAGGCGGAAUGUGUUGUGUAGCGGUGGAAUGCAUAGAUAUGACACAGAACGCCAAUUGCGAAGGCAGCUUACUAAGCCAUUACUGACGCUGAGGCACGAAAGCGUGGGGAGCGAACAGGAUUAGAUACCCCUGUAGUC
rnacentral:rRNA from 1 species